rnacentral:Y_RNA from 1 species
UGCUGGUCUGAAGGUACUGAGCUAUUUAUUACUCAAAGUUAGUUAUAGAUUGGACUCCUAAUCUAAAGUUUCCCCUGUGUCACUACUGUGCCUGACUACUUUUAA